rnacentral:rRNA from 1 species
CAGCGAGCGGAAGGCCCUCGGUGAAAUUCAGCCGCCGCAAGUUUCCGCUGGGUGGGGAACCUGCGACGGUGCACUUUCCGCCGGGGCACGUCAGCGGCGAUUGCUCUCAUCCCUCGAGGCGGCAGAGGGUUGCCUCCUCGGAGGUCAGGUGGCCGGGACGGCCUUGUGGUCGUCUCGGAGCGUAUACUUUGCCGUUGGGGGCGUGGGAGCGAUCGAGGAGUGGGUUCGUUCCGUCGGCGUCCAUUCGCCUGGAGCAAAGGCAGGUGCGGGCCAGAGAGUUUGGCCGGGCGGCCCAGGCGUCCGGUAGUCUCGAGCGAGUGCUGCCCCGUCCUCGCGGCGGGCGGCUCACUCGAGUUCUGCCGGCGUGCGGUGUCCGCCUCGCCCGCGCCUA